AGCGGCAGACGGGUGAGUAACGCGUGGGAAUCUACCUUAAGCUACGGGAUAACAGAGAGAAAUUUCUGCUAAUACCGUAUGUGGCCUAUGGGCGAAAGAUUUAUCGGCUUAAGAUGAGCCCGCGUUGGAUUAGCUAGUUGGUGGGGUAAAGGCCUACCAAGGCGACGAUCCAUAGCUGGUCUGAGAGGAUGAUCAGCCACACUGGGACUGGGACACGGCCCAGACUCCUACGGGAGGCAGCAGUGGGGAAUAUUGGACAAUGGGCGGAAGCCUGAUCCAGCCAUGCCGCGUGAGUGAAGAAGGCCUUAGGGUUGUAAAGCUCUUUCACCGGUGAAGAUAAUGACGGUAACCGGAGAAGAAGCCCCGGCUAACUUCGUGCCAGCAGCCGCGGUAAUACGAAGGGGGCUAGCGUUGUUCGGAUUUACUGGGCGUAAAGCGCGCGUAGGCGGAUAGAUAAGUCAGAGGUGAAAUCCCGGGGCUCAACCCCGGAAUUGCCUUUGAUACUGUUUAUCUUGAGUGCAGAAGAGGUAAGUGGAAUUCCGAGUGUAGAGGUGAAAUUCGUAGAUAUUCGGAGGAACACCAGUGGCGAAGGCGGCUUACUGGUCUGCAACUGACGCUGAGGCGCGAAAGCGUGGGGAGCAAACAGGAUUAGAUACCCUGGUAGUCCACGCCGUAAACGAUGGAAGCCAGCCGUUGGCAGANUUAUCUGUCNGUGGCGCANCUAACGCAUUAAGCUUCCCGCCUGGGGAGUACGGUC
rnacentral:rRNA from 2 species